CCCUUCUCAGGGUCACACCUGGAGAGUUUCUAGUACUCCACCAGUCUUGGCUAUGGGAGGGAGAGUCAAACAGAGGUCUCUCCAUUCUAUUCCUAGCUUGGCCAGUGGCUAGCCAGUGGAAGGCAAUCUGCUACAAGU